CCGUAGCCCAAGAGAUCGGGAUAACACCUGGAAACAGAUGCUAAUACCGGAUAACAACAGAUGAUGCCUAUCAACUGUUUAAAAGAUGGUUCUGCUAUCACUCUUGGAUGGACCUGCGGUGCAUUAGCUAGUUGGUAGGGUAACGGCCUACCAAGGCGAUGAUGCAUAGCCGAGUUGAGAGACUGAUCGACCACAUUGGGACUGAGACACUGCCCAAACUCCUACGGGAGGCAGCAGCG
rnacentral:rRNA from 1 species